rnacentral:rRNA from 1 species
UACAGAGGUCCCGAGCGUUGUUCGGAUUCACUGGGCGUAAAGGGUGCGUAGGUGGUGAGGAAAGUCGGAUGUGAAAUCUCCGGGCUUAACCCGGAAAUGGCAUUGGAAACUACCUUGCUAGAGGUUUUGAGGGGGACUGGAAUUCUCGGUGUAGCAGUGAAAUGCGUAGAUAUCGAGAGGAACACCGGUGGCGAAGGCGAGUCCCUGGAAAACACUUGACACUGAGGCACGAAAGCUAGGGGAGCAAACAGG